rnacentral:pre_miRNA from 1 species
GUAAUGCUAAAAGCCCCAAAAGUUGGAACCCAAAUGUUUUCCCUGAAUCACUCCCACCAUUGAUUGGUGGGCUCCAUGCACCAAUUAAACAGUGGGAGUGAUUCAGGGAACCCAUUCAGGCUCAUCGGACUCUUAGGUUUGAUUAGUAUGC